UACGUAGGUGGCAAGCGUUGUCCGGAAUUAUUGGGCGUAAAGCGCGCGCAGGCGGCCUCUUAAGUCUGAUGUGAAAUCUUGCGGCUCAACCGCAAGCGGCCAUUGGAAACUGGGGGGCUUGAGUACAGAAGAGGAGAGUGGAAUUCCAGGUGUAGCGGUGAAAUGCGUAGAUAUCUGGAGGAACACCGGUGGCGAAGGCGGCAUCCUGGACCGGCAUUGACGCUGAGGCGCGAAAGCCAGGGGAGCAAACGGG
rnacentral:rRNA from 1 species